AACAUCUACGUCUCGCUCUCGCACAUGCGCAAACCGCUCCAAAUAGCGUGCCAGGCGCGGAAGGAUUUGAGCAUGCGCAGCGGUGUCAAGGCGUUUGGCGGGCUUCAGGCAGUACAGAAAACGAGCCCCGCCUCCCUGCAUCUGAUUGGUCCAGUUAAACACUAGUGUGCCUGAGACCGUCUUGAAGGAAGGACUUUUCUUCUGUGAGGAGGAGCUGAGGAGUCAGGGCAAAGUGCGUGGCGUCUCUGAAGAAAACAUUUCCGAAGUUACUCUGUGUUCCACUCUUGUUGAAUGAUGAGCUCUGGGAGUCUGUGCUUCAGCCUUACUCAGUUUUCCUGAAGACUCCACUGAGACACGGACUGCACUGUCCCUCACCAUGGACCCCAGCCUUCAGCCAGAUGAGGUUCUCACAGAGACCGUAGUGCCUUGCGCCUUGUUGCUGUCAAGUCUGUGCCAACAUGACUCUUGAAUUGAUACUCAGUGAUUCCAAGAGAAUCUGCCUCUCCUUGCUUCUUCCUUAAUGAACAUGAAAUACCAACAGCUCUAAGGGGGAAAA